rnacentral:rRNA from 1 species
UUUGCCUACGGGGGGCAGCAGUGGGGAAUAUUGCACAAUGGGGGAAACCCUGAUGCAGCGACGCCGCGUGAGUGAAGAAGUAUUUCGGUAUGUAAAGCUCUGUCAGCAGGGAAGAAGAAAGACGGUACCUGACCAAGAAGCCCCGGCUAACUACGUGCCAGCAGCCGCGGUAAUACGUAGGGGGCAAGCGUUAUCCGGAAUCACUGGGUGUAAAGGGAGCGUAGACGGCUGUGCAAGCCUGGAGUGAAAGGCGGGGGCCCAACCCCCGGACUGCUCUGGGAACUGCAAAGCUGGAGUGCAGGAGG